CCUACGGGAGGCAGCAGUAGGGAAUCUUCCACCAUGGGCGAAAGCCUGAUGGAGCAACGCCGCGUGGGUGAAGAAGGUCUUCGGAUCGUAAAACCCUGUUGUUAGAGAAGAAAGUGCGUGAGAGUAACUGUUCACGUUUCGACGGUAUCUAACCAGAAAGCCACGGCUAACUACGUGCCAGCAGCCGCGGUAAUACGUAGGUGGCAAGCGUUAUCCGGAUUUAUUGGGCGUAAAGGGAACGCAGGCGGUCUUUUAAGUCUGAUGUGAAAGCCUUCGGCUUAACCGGAGUAGGGCAUUGGAAACUGGGAGACGUGAGGGCAGAAGAGGAGAGUGGAACUCCAUGUGUAGCGGUGAAAUGCGUAGAUAUAUGGAAGAACACCAGUGGCGAAAGCGGCUCUCUGGUCUGUAACUGACGCUGAGGUUCGAAAGCGUGGGUAGCAAACAGGAUUAGAUACCCUUGUAGUC
rnacentral:rRNA from 1 species